ensembl:lncRNA
CAGCUGUGUCUCCCACCUGUAUGUGAUUGCCCAGUGUCCCUCUGUGUAUUUAUAGUGUGUGUUUCCCUCAGUUCCUCGUCGCGUCGUCUGUGUUCAUCACUCAGUGUCACCCUGCCUACUCUGCAUUGCUCUGUGUUCCUCCUCUGUGUCACCCUGCGUGCUCUCCCUGCUGUCCUCCCUCCAUGCUCAGUGGCCAGUGCGAAGUUGUGCUGCAGAUCCCAGUAUGAAAGCUGAGGGUCCAGUCAGCCGGCAGAAAGGCCAGUUGAUGCCUCGACGUGCGUUGGAACCGGUUUU